AACUGCUGAAUCACUAGAUUGCACUCCUGAAACUAAUAUGACACUGUAUGUUAACUACACUGGAAUUAAAAUAAAUCUAAAUAAAAUAUGUG